UUAACUAGAGAGUUAGAUACCUUUAUAUUUAAUCUAAAACAGUAGUAACAUAUUAAAAGUAAAACUUAUACAUUAUGGCAGCAUAUAUUUUUAUUAGAGGAACUUGUUUUUUAAUCGAUAAUCCACGUUAAUCUUCACUUUUUUUUAAAUUUUAUAUCCUCCGUCUUAAAGAAUAAAUUAUAAUUUUUAUUCAAAAUAAAAACUUAUCAAGUCAGGUAAAGGUGUAGACUACAAAAAAGUUAAAAUGAGUNCAAUAAUAAAUAAUUAU
rnacentral:rRNA from 1 species